rnacentral:rRNA from 1 species
GACGAACGCUGGCGGCGUACCUAAUACAUGCAAGUAGAACGCUGAAGCGAGGAGCUUGCUCUUCUUGGAUGAGUUGCGAACGGGUGAGUAACGCGUAGGUAACCUGCCUUGUAGCGGGGGAUAACUAUUGGAAACGAUAGCUAAUACCGCAUAACAAUGGAUGACACAUGUCAUUUAUUUGAAAGGGGCAAUUGCUCCACUACAAGAUGGACCUGCGUUGUAUUAGCUAGUAGGUGAGGUAAUGGCUCACCUAGGCGACGAUACAUAGCCGACCUGAGAGGGUGAUCGGCCACACUGGGACUGAGACACGGCCCAGACUCCUACGGGAGGCAGCAGUAGGGAAUCUUCGGCAAUGGGGGCAACCCUGACCGAGCAACGCCGCGUGAGUGAAGAAGGUUGUCGGAUCGUAAAGCUCUGUUGUAAGUCAAGAACGGGUGUGAGAGUGGAAAGUUCACACUGUGACGGUAGCUGACCAGAAAGGGACGGCUAACUACGUG